UACAGAGGUCUCAAGCGUUGUUCGGAUUCAUUGGGCGUAAAGGGUGCGUAGGCGGCGCGGUAAGUCGGGUGUGAAAUCUCGGAGCUUAACUCCGAAACUGCAUUCGAUACUGCCGUGCUUGAGGACUGGAGAGGAGACUGGAAUUUACGGUGUAGCGGUGAAAUGCGUAGAUAUCGUAAGGAAGACCAGUGGCGAAGGCGGGUCUCUGGACAGUUCCUGACGUGAGGCACGAAAGCGUGGGGAUCAAACAGG
rnacentral:rRNA from 1 species